GCCCAAAUGUAAAGUUUUGAAAUCAGAGCACCUGCUGUCUGGAUACCGUGUGCGCUUUACACGCAUCAUCGCAUCUAAUCCUCCGUUGAGAAACAGAAUUCCCAAGGGAAACCCGGCAUAGUGACUCUAUUUCCCAGCCUGCCACAGGGAAGUCCCACACGUCGUCGAGGGGCAUGGGAGCCACAGGUCGUCGACGCUGGUGAAGCAACAGCUGGAAGGUGCCCGUGUUCCUGCCAUUUGUGGGCUGCCCUGGUAACCCUGCCAUGUAACUGAGCAGAGGGUCAAAUAAAGUCUCUCGUUCAAGCCUUUGUCAUCCUGAGUUUCUUGUUACUCAGACUUAAUCUUAACUGAUGUAGGAGUUGUAACCUGCUUUACGCUGAAACGAUACCAUCGUUUGAGCACUUACUCUGUUCU